UAUGGCUGUUUAAAGACUGGAGUGCUGAAGAACUCAAGUGCUUGACCUUCCCAUUCUUUGCUAUCUCGUUGGCUCUCACCUUCCAGGCUUCAAUGGAGCGAUGGGCCUCUUCAAUUACAUGAGGGCAGCCACUGAGAUGACCAACACUUUCCUUUCGUGGUCCCUGGCACCAGGGUGGUUCUCUGUCAUUCUGGCAACCAUGGCAGGUGUUUGUCACUUGGUGGCGAAGAAAUGGGAGAAGGAUGAAGAUACCACAGAGCUUUUCACAGGCAUGACUAUAAAGACGCUGAAAGAGGACUUGUUGGAAAACCCUGCCUCUCAGUCUGCCCUCCGAGGGAGGCCAAGGGGGGGCACGUCAAAAUCUGUGACGAUUCUGUGAACUCAACACUGCGAGAUAUACAAGUGGCAUCAGGUUUGGGCGGGUAGGGUGCCCUGGUUGCGUGAGGGCAACCAUGCACCCGGUGGCAUCUGAGCUGUGGGAAUUAGGGUGAGAAGAUACCUUGGCAAGGGGUUACUUUUUGCAUCAGAUUCCCAGCAAGCAUCAAACAUCAUCAUGACACAUUCAGUUGCCUCUAAGCUACAAAUGAUGGAUGUCGGCAUCAAGGGGCACUGCAGUGACACUUCACAUCAUGCUUCUGAACUUUUUUUAAAAAUGCUAUUUUUUUGCUUUAUAUCCUUCCUGAAUAAACUCCUUUAAUAUG